CACUGAAGGUGGCGAUAAUGCACCUUAACGCUGGUGCUACCCACCAUAAAACAGAAGAAGAAGAAUCAAACAUCACUAUUCAAGAAUCACCUACGGGAAAUAGGAGGACUGGACUGGAAGGACGAAUUUAAUUAAGAUAUAGUAAGUUAAAGUGAGACAGCAGAUGGCAGUAAUGCAACACUAUGGAUGCCAACUGCCUUAAAACUCCAACGAAGAAGACGACAAACAUCACUAUUGUGAUGUACAUUUGUGUUAGGGACUGUUGACUGUGGAAUUGUUACACUGGAGAAAUGGAUGUGUCAAGUCUUUCCAAAGGGACAAAGAAAUAGA